AGAGAGAGAGAGAGAGAGAGAAGAAGUCUGCAGAUAUGAGAGUUACGACGUCGUUCGGCUUCAUCAUGUUUUUGGCCUUUGACAGAAAAAGCUGCCUGGCUCAAAUGAGUGAAAGCUACCUACGAAGCGCGUACGGAAAAAGCUACCUACUUUGACGAGUGAAGAGCUAAUCAUGAGAAAAGCUGCCUCGAGAGAUAGAGUGAGAGCUACCACGCUAAUUAAGAAUUUAGUGCAAAUGGAAAAAGCUACCUACUCCGAUGAGUGAAUUAAUGCUACUUAUGAAAAAAAGCUACCGUCAAGGAUAGAGUGAAAGCUACCGUCAGAAGCUUCGUGCGAAAGAGCUGCCGUGAGUCAGAGUGAAAGCUAACUGACUGGCUCAAUCCACGUUAUUAGAUUUAACCAUGAAAAUAUAAUUUAGAGGCCUUUGACAGAAAGCAAAACAAUCUGAUUCAGAUGACUUAAAGCUACCUACGAAGCGUGUACGGAAAAAGCUACCUACUUUGACGAGUGAAGAGCUAGUCAUGAGAAAAAGCUGCCUUGAGAGAUAGAGUGAGAGCUACCACGCUAAUUAAGAAUUUAGUGCAAAUGGAAAAGCUACCUACUCCGAUGAGUGAAUGCUACUUAUGAAAAAAAGCUACCGUCAAAGAGAGUGAAAGCUAACGUCAGAAGCUCCGUUGGAAAGAGCUUUCGUGAGUCAAGAGUGAAAGCUACUGACUGGCUAAAUCCACGUUAUGAUUAAUCACCAUCCAUUGCACUUUGGCCGAUUGGUCGAUUAUGAAGUUAUUAGGUUUGGGUGAACUUAAAUUGUGCAUGGUGUAUAUCUCGUUUUGAAAAUAGAUUCAACCAUGAAAAUAUAAUUUGCAGGCCUUUGACAGAAAAAGCUGCCUGGCUCAAACGAGUGAAAGCUACCCACGAAGUGCGUACGGAAAAAGCUACCUACUAUGAUGAGUGAAAAGCUAUUCAUGAGAAAAAGCUGCCUCGAGAGAUAGAGUGAGAGCUACCACACUAAUUAAGAAUUUAGUGAAAAUGGAAAAAGCUACCUACUCCGAUGAGUGAAUGCUACUUACGAAAAAAAGCUACCGUCAAAGAUAGAGUGAAAGCUACCGUCAGAAGCUUCGUGCGAAAGAGCUACCGUGAGUCAGAGUGAAAGCUACUGACUGGCUCAAUCCACGUUAUUAGACUUAACCAUGAAAAUAUAAUUUAGAGGCCUUUGACAGAAAGAAAAGCAACCUGACUCAGAUGACUUAAAGCUACCUACGAAGCGCGUAUGGAAAAAGCUACCUACUUUGACGAGUGAAGUGCUAAUCAUGAGAAAAAGCUGCCUCGAGAGAUAGAGUGAGAGCUACCACACUAAUUAAGAAUUUAGUGCAAAUGGAAAAAGCUACCUACUCCGAUGAGUGAAUUAAUGCUACUUAUGAAAAAAAGCUACCGUCAAAGAUAGAGUGAAAGCUAACAUCAGAAGCUCCGUUGGAAAGAGCUUUCGUGAGUGAAAGCUACUGACCGGCUAAAUCCACGUUAUGAUUAAUCACCAUCCAUUGCACUUUGGCUGAUUGGUCGAUUAUGAAGUUAUUAGGUUUGGGU